UUCUGGACUUGAGGACUGUGAAGAGACCUCUUGUGGAAUGUCUUGUGGGGUAUGCAUGGUGUAACUAGGAGGAGAGGCCUCAUUUAACAUAUUAGUUUCAUCAGGUUUGAACCAUGUUUCAGUCAGGCCAAUCACAUCAAGAUUAUGAUCAGUGAUUAGUUCAUUGACUAUGACUGCCUUGGAAGUGAGGGAUCUAACAUUAAGUAGCCCUAUUUUGAGAUGUGAGAGAUUGCAAUCUCUUUCAAUAAUAACAGGAAUGGACGAGGGCCCUAUUCUAGUGAGAUUGCUAAGGUGAACACGGCUAUGUUUAGUUUUGCCCGACCUAGAUUGAGGCACAGAAUAGGGAAAGUUGUGUGGUCUCAAUGGGGAAAGCUGAGUUGACUAUACUGACUGUGGCAGUGACAGACUCCACUAAACUGGCAGGCUGACUAACUGCCUGCUGCCUGGCCUGCACCCUAUCUCAUUUUGGAUCUAGAGGAGUUAGAGCCUUGUCUAUGUUGAUAUAAAAGAUGAGAGCAAUGGUCCAGCUAGGACUGGCCACAAUUCCUGACCACAACUACUAACCCCUACCACACAACUACUGACCACAACUAAUCACCACAACUACACAUCUACUGACCACAACCACACAACUACUGACCACAAAUACUGACCACAACUCCUGGCCACAACUACUAACCACAUCCACACAACUACUGACCACAACCAUAUAACUAACUACUGACAAAAUCCAAACAACUACUGACCACAACCAUAGAACUAUUGACCAAAUCCACAGUACUACUUACCACAACCACACAAUGACUGACCACACAACUACUGCCCACAACCACACAAUUACACAACUACUGACCAGAAAUACUGACCACAACUCCUGACCACAACUACUAACCAGAACCACACAACUACUGACCACAACUUACAACCAUAUAUACUGACCACGUCCACACAACUACUGACCAUAACUACUGACCACAACUAAUCACCAUAACCACAUAUCUGCUGACAACGGCAACUGACCACAAUCACACAACUACUGAUCACACCAAAUAAUCACAAUCACUGACCACAACUACUGACCACAACCACACAGCUACUGACCACAACUACUGACUGUACCUACUGACCACAACUACUGACCACAACCAAACAACUAUUGACCACAACUAAUAACCACAAUUACUGACCACAACCACACAACUAAUGACCACAACCACAUACCUGACAAUAACCACACAACUACUAACUACAACUAAUGACCACAACUACUGACCAAAAUCACACAACUACUGAUCACAACAACACGACACCUGACCACAACAGCACAACUAAUGACCACAACUAUUAAUUUAAACCACUGACCACAAUUUGAAUCGUUUCAGAAAUCUAGUCUAUGUCGCAAGUCAUGACUUCAUAGGAGAGGCGUUUGAACAUUUUUUUAUAAAAGAAAUAAAUCAAAAUGCGUUUUUGGGCAGAAAUACCUUCUUGAACAUUUGAACUUUCAUGUGCCUUAAUAACAAACGUGUAUGCCAUCUGUAAAUACAAAUAAAGUUGUUAAAUUACAAGCCUAAAAAAAGGCAGUAACCUUCCUACUAGCCAUGAUUGACUGAGAUAUGAAUGGGCUGGACAUGCCGAGAGAUGAGUUUCGGAUUGGUCUGCCGUGUAGCAUCUUCUGUCUAUAAAAUAAACUGCUCGUUAUGAGUAGAUAAUCCUUUCUACUGCAUUUCUAAAGAUAUAACGUUAACCAUGGAGAACUGCAAAUGUGUUGCUACUGCUCUUAAUAACAUUGCUGCCCUGAAUUUAUCAGCCGCUAUCGACAAGGGUCAGUGGGAAAAAGUUGUGAUGGACUACUAUCAGGAGGACGAUCGUACCAUGCUGGCUCUCUCUGAUUCUGAAAAUGAAUCAGAAGAUGUGAACCACAGUGACUUGACACAACGUGCCAAGCAAGCUGUUCAAACAAAACGGAAACUACACAGGACGUCUUAUUUAAUGAAAGGGGUUGCAGUCUGCUGUGAAGCGUUCAUCCAUGUAUAUGGCAUCAGUAGAACACGCCUGUCAUAAAAGGAGAAUGGUCUAAUGCCUCCCAUCAAAAAGAGAGCUGGCCCAAGCAAGCACUUGUUCAGAGUGAGCGGUCUGUCGACCAGAAGAUGGUUGCUGACUGCAAGACCACCUGUCAAGACCUGCAGUUGUCUCUGGGGGCACUACUGAACCUGCAAGCAAAGACAUCAGGAAUGCUUUACAGCUUUGAUUUUGCUCAACAAGUGCACUAUUCUUCUGACUCUAUGCAGCCAGGUCACAUCUACUUGUUUGGUGUCUGCUGUGAAGGAAAACCACAACAAGUCAACUACUUGAUUGAUGAAGGCAUGUCAUCCAGCACGGACAAUGCACAGGCAGUCAUCAACUACAUGCACCAUUUCUUCACCGACUAUGGUUAACGUCUACAUCACUAGAGGAACAGAGGAGGAGUAGGAUAAGGGUACGGCUAAAGGCUAUAAGAACUGGUCGUCUAGUGCGUUGGGAACAGAGAAUAAAAGGGACAGAUU